UACGGGGGGGGCAAGCGUUGUUCGGAAUUACUGGGCGUAAAGGGCUCGUAGGUGGCCAACUAAGUCAGACGUGAAAUCCCUCGGCUUAACCGGGGAACUGCGUCUGAUACUGGAUGGCUUGAGUUUGGGAGAGGGAUGCGGAAUUCCAGGUGUAGCGGUGAAAUGCGUAGAUAUCUGGAGGAACACCGGUGGCGAAGGCGGCAUCCUGGACCAACACUGACGCUGAGGAGCGAAAGCCAGGGGAGCAAACGGG
rnacentral:rRNA from 1 species